rnacentral:tRNA from 1 species
UUCGUGGCGCAGCGGUAGCGCAGGAGACUCUUAAUCUCUUGGUCGUGGGUUCAAAUCCCACCGGA